GUGGGGAAUCUUCCGCAAUGGACGAAAGUCUGACGGAGCAACGCCGCGUGAGUGAUGAAGGUCUUCGGAUUGUAAAGCUCUGUUAAUCGGGACGAAAGAGCCUAGUGUGAAUAAUGCUAGGAAGUGACGGUACCGGAAUAGAAAGCCACGGCUAACUACGUGCCAGCAGCCGCGGUAAUACGUAGGUGGCAAGCGUUGUCCGGAAUUAUUGGGCGUAAAGCGCGCGCAGGCGGAUCUGCCAGUCUGUCUUAAAAGUUCGGGGCUUAACCCCGUGAUGGGAUGGAAACUACAGAUCUAGAGUAUCGGGGAGGAAAGUGGAAUUCCUAGUGUAGCGGUGAAAUGCGUAGAUAUUAGGAAGAACACCAGUGGCGAAGGCGACUUUCUGGACGAAAACUGACGCUGAGGCGCGAAAGCCAGGGGAGCGAACGGGAUUAGAAACCCGAGUAGUCC
rnacentral:rRNA from 1 species